GGACAGCGGCGAACGGGUGAGUAACACGUGGGUAAUCUGCCCUCGGCAUCGGGAUAGCCCGGGGAAACCCGGAUUUAAUACCGAAUGGCCUCUCGAGCUCAUGGCUCGGGAGAAAAGGUAGCUUCGGCCUCCGGCCGGGGAGGAGCCCGCGGCGGAUUAGCUUGUAGGUGGGGUAAUGGCUCACCAAGGCGACGAUCCGUAGCUGGUCUGAGAGGACGGUCAGCCACACUGGGACUGAGACACGGCCCAGACUCCUACGGGAGGCAGCAGUGGGGAAUCUUGCCCAAUGGGCGAAAGCCUGAGGCAGUGACGCCGCGUGCGGGAAGAAGGCCUUCGGGUUGUAAACCGCUUUCAGGAGGGACGAAGCCACUCGGGUGAAUAGCCCAGAGGGUGACGGUACCUCCAGAAGAAGCCCCGGCCAACUACGUGCCAGCAGCCGCGGUAAUACGUAGGGGGCGAGCGUUGUCCGGAUUUAUUGGGCGUAAAGAGCGUGUAGGCGGCCAGGUAAGUCCGCUGUGAAAACUCGAGGCUUAACCUCGAGACGUCGGUGGAAACUAUCUGGCUAGAGUCCGGAAGAGGAGAGUGGAUUCCCGGUG
rnacentral:rRNA from 1 species